rnacentral:SRP_RNA from 1 species
GCCUGGUGCGGUGGUACAAGCCUGUAGUUCCAACUAUUCAGGAGGCUGAGGCGGGAGGAUUGCUUGAGCCCAAGAGUUCUGGGCUAUAAUGCACUAUGUUGAUCAGGUGUCUGCACUGUUUGGCAUCAGUAUGGUGACCUCCCAGGAGUGGAGGACCACCAGGUUGCCUAAAGUGGGGUUAGUCAGGCCAGGUUGGAAACAGCAGGUCUAAACUCCAGUGCUGAUCAGUAGUGGGAUUGCACCUGUGAAUUGCCACUGCACUCCAGCUUGGGCAACAUAGCGAGACCCCGUCUCU